AUCAUCGACAGAAACAAGUGUGUGGGUCAUCUAGAAGGGAUAAACUUAUAAUCAGAUUUACUAUGAUGAAUUGUUACGUCUGGGCAGACAGGACUUCAGAAAAAGUUCAAUGAACGUGCGAGACAUUUGGACGAGUGGUGGACAUAUUGAGUUGUGAAGCAACAGCCCCAUGUUAAAUAGCUUCUACAAAACAAAGAAUUGACUGUUGCUGCACCACCCUAAGCUCUGGACCUAGUUGGUUUCGGAUCCACUUGAUGCCCUGCUGCUGUGGGUCAACGAUGAGUGGCCAACGCUCACUGGUGGUCAGGAUGACAGCGUUCUCAAUGGACAUCCUAUCAUUUGGCAGG